rnacentral:rRNA from 1 species
GAUGAACGCUGACAGAAUGCUUAACACAUGCAAGUCAACUUGAAUUUGGGUUUUUAACUUAGAUUUGGGUGGCGGACGGGUGAGUAACGCGUAAAGAACUUGCCUCACAGAUAGGGACAACAUUUGGAAACGAACGCUAAUACCUGAUAUUAUGAUUUUAGGGCAUCCUAGGAUUAUGAAAGCUAUAUGCGCUGUGAGAGAGCUUUGCGUCCCAUUAGCUAGUUGGAGAGGUAACGGCUCACCAAGGCGAUGAUGGGUAGCCGGCCUGAGAGGGUGAUCGGCCACAAGGGGACUGAGACACGGCCCUUACUCCUACGGGAGGCAGCAGUGGGGAAUAUUGGACAAUGGACCAAGAGUCUGAUCCAGCAAUUCUGUGUGCACGAUGAAGUUUUUCGGAAUGUAAAGUGCUUUCAGUUGGGAAGAAAUAAAUGACGGUACCAACAGAAGAAGUGACGGCUAAAUACGUGCCAGCAGCCGCGGUAAUACGUAUGUCACGAGCGUUAUCCGGAUUUAUUGGGCGUAAAGCGCGUCUAGGUGGUUAUGUAAGUCUGAUGUGAAAAUGCAGGGCUCAACUCUGUAUUGCGUUGGAAACUGUAUAACUAGAGUACUGGAGAGGUAAGCGGAACUACAAGUGUAGAGGUGAAAUUCGUAGAUAUUUGUAGGAAUGCCGAUGGGGAAGCCAGCUUACUGGACAGAUACUGACGCUGAAGCGCGAAAGCGUGGGUAGCAAACAGG